rnacentral:tRNA from 1 species
UAGUAGCUCAACGGUAGAGCGGCUGAUUUGUAAUCAGUAGGUUGCGGGUUCGAUUCCUGUCUGG